rnacentral:misc_RNA from 1 species
GAAAUGCGAUAAGUAAUGUGAAUUGCAGAAUUCAGUGAAUCAUCGAAUCUUUGAACGCACAUUGCGCCCCUUGGUAUUCCGGGGGGCAUGCCUGUUCGAGCGUCAUUUCAACCCUCAAGCUCUGCUUGGUAUUGGGCUCCGUCCUCCCCGGACGCGCCUCAAAGACCUCGGCGGUGGCGUCGUGCCUCAAGCGUAGUAGAAAACACCUCGCUUUGGAGCGCAGGGCGCCGCCCGCCGGACGAACCUUUGAAUCAUUUCUCAAGGUUGACCUCGGAUCAGGUAGGGAUACCCGCUGAACUUAAGC